CACUCGCACGGAGCAACCUCGGGACAGAUGGUGGGAGAGGAAGGGCAACUCGAGGAGGCACAUUUUAGGAAACUGCCCACGGAGCCAGUUUCGAUUCUCCAAACCUCGUCAGCAUGCAGAGGCUCCCUGACUCGGCAGCAAGGAGGGCCUCAUCAGCCGACCCCCAUGCCCGGCACCCCCUUCACCAGGUCCUGAAAACUCCAGAGAGCAGUGCCCUGUGCAUUAAACACAGACUGCGCCCUUGUACUCAGGAGGAUGCAAUUCUCUCUCUAAAGUCGAGAGCUCACCACCCCGGGCGUUCGUCACUGCAGACAUCACUGCAGACACAGAGACGGCCAUUAGAGCUCACCACCCCGGGCGUUCGUCACUGCAGACAUCACUGCAGACACAGAGAAGGCCAUUAGAGCUCACCACCCCGGGCGUUCGUCACUGCAGACAUCACUGCAGACACAGAGACGGCCAUUAUGCAGCCUCACGUGGUCACUCCUGGGGGCGGUAGGAUAUUUUAUCCUAAAGAGAAAACACCUUAAAUUCUCACAUCAGCCACCCCCAUGGCGACUCUUAACACCUUAAUGUAGCACCUUCCAACUUUUCCUGGGCAUUUAUGUACAAAUUGUAAUAAAAUUGGGUUCUUACUGCAUACGCUGCUUGCUGGUUUCUAAAUAAAAUUGGGUUCUUACUA
rnacentral:lncRNA from 1 species